rnacentral:rRNA from 1 species
UGCCUGUAGAUAAAUAAUUACAGGUACAUCCUGCCCAGUGAUCCCUCAUUCAACGGCCGCGGUACACUGACCGUGCUAAGGUAGCGCAAUUACUUGCCUUUUAAUUGAAGGCCCGUACGAACGGACCCACGAAAGCUUAACUGUCUCACAGCUACAAAAGAAAACUAAUCUUUAAGUGAAAAAGCUUAACUAAAAUAAAAAGACAAGAAGACCCUGUAGAGCUUAACUCCCACAACUACUUCAUUCACAUACUCUUGUAUAUCUUACACUUAGUCCAAGAGUUUUGCUGGGGCAGCAAGAGACCAACCAAAACGUCUCCUCACAAACCAGACUCUAAGUCCUCCACAAGACCCCUUUAUUCCCCAACGAAUUCAAGGAACUUAAACUUUAGCUACCUCAGGGAUAACAGACUAAUUUGUCUUAAAAGUCCACAUUAACAGACAAGUUUGGCACCUCGAUGUUGGCUCAGGAUUCCCCUAGUGUGCAGCAGCACUACUGGUAAGUAUGUUCUCCUUUUAAAAUCCU